GGUGAGUAACACGUGAGCAACCUGCCCCUGACUCUGGGAUAAGCGCUGGAAACGGCGUCUAAUACUGGAUAUGAGCCUUCCACGCAUGUGGGGGGUUGGAAAGAUUUUUUGGUUGGGGAUGGGCUCGCGGCCUAUCAGCUUGUUGGUGAGGUAAUGGCUCACCAAGGCGUCGACGGGUAGCCGGCCUGAGAGGGUGACCGGCCACACUGGGACUGAGACACGGCCCAGACUCCUACGGGAGGCAGCAGUGGGGAAUAUUGCACAAUGGGCGGAAGCCUGAUGCAGCAACGCCGCGUGAGGGAUGACGGCCUUCGGGUUGUAAACCUCUUUUAGCAAGGAAGAAGCGAAAGUGACGGUACUUGCAGAAAAAGCGCCGGCUAACUACGUGCCAGCAGCCGCGGUAAUACGUAGGGCGCAAGCGUUAUCCGGAAUUAUUGGGCGUAAAGAGCUCGUAGGCGGUUUGUC
rnacentral:rRNA from 1 species